rnacentral:rRNA from 1 species
CCCUUAGUAGCGGCGAGCGAAGUGGGUAAAGCUCAAGUUUAAAACCUGUUUGUCCUAGACAAACCGGAUUGUAAACUAAGGACGUGCUAUCCAGGCUCUUUGGACCUUCAAGUCCUUUGGAAUAAGGCUUCACAGAGGGUGACAAUCCCGUAGAGGGUCUUGAAAGAGUCUAUUGCGAUGCAUGCUCCAAGAGUCAGGUUGUUUGGGAAUGCAGCCUAAAGUGGGAGGUAAAUCCCUCCUAAAGCUAAAUAUUGGCGAGAGACCGAUAGCAAACAAGUACCGUGAGGGAAAGUUGAAAAGGACUUUGAAAAGAGAGUCAAAAGUACGUGAAAUUGCUUAAAGGGAAGCGUUUGGAGCUAGUUUGGCUAGUCUGUUAUCAGCCUGAGCUUCGGCUUUGGUGUACUAUCAGGCUAUUUGCCGGCCAACUUUCAGGAUUGGAAGGAAAGCUUAGUGCUUUGGAGUCUAAAGAGACCUUUGCGGAAGCCUCUGGUGGAGCGUUGGUCUGCCUUGGCCCUUCUGAACCUAUAGUUGGCUUAAUGGCUCUAAACGGCC